rnacentral:rRNA from 1 species
UACGUAGGUGACCAGCGUUGUCCGGAUUUACUGGGCGUAAAGAGCGCGCAGGCGGUCGUUCAAGUCGAGGGUGAAAGCCCCCGGCUCAACUGGGGAGGGUCACUCGAUACUGAUCGACUUGAAGGCAGGAGAGGGAAGCGGAAUUCCCGGUGUAGUGGUGAAAUGCGUAGAUAUCAGGAGGAAUACCGAUGGCGAAGGCAGGUCUCUGGGCUGACACUGACGCUCAUGCACGAAAGCGUGGGGAGCAAACAGG